UUGCUGCUUUGCUGACGAGUGGCGGACGGGUGAGUAAUGUCUGGGAAACUGCCCGAUGGAGGGGGAUAACUACUGGAAACGGUAGCUAAUACCGCAUAACGUCGCAAGACCAAAGAGGGGGGACCUUCGGGCCUCUUGCCAUCGGAUGUGCCCAGAUGGGAUUAGCUAGUAGGUGGGGUAACGGCUCACCUAGGCGACGAUCCCUAGCUGGUCUGAGAGGAUGACCAGCCACACUGGAACUGAG
rnacentral:rRNA from 1 species